UUUCCUACGGGAGGCAGCAGUGGGGAAUAUUGGGCAAUGGAGGAAACUCUGACCCAGCAACGCCGCGUGAAUGAUGAAGGUCUUCGGAUUGUAAAGUUCUUUUCUAAGGGAAGAAGAAAGUGACGGUACCUUAGGAAUAAGCCUCGGCUAACUACGUGCCAGCAGCCGCGGUAAUACGUAGGAGGCGAGCGUUAUCCGGAAUGACUGGGCGUAAAGGGUGCGUAGGUGGUUUGGCAAGUUAGUAGCGUAACUCCAAGGCUCAACCUUGGAACUACUACUAAAACUGUUGGACUUGAGUGCAGGAG
rnacentral:rRNA from 1 species